rnacentral:rRNA from 1 species
UGGGGAAUCUUCGGCAAUGGACGAAAGUCUGACCGAGCAACGCCGCGUGAGUGAAGAAGGUUUUCGGAUCGUAAAACUCUGUUGUUAGAGAAGAACAAGGACGUUAGUAACUGAACGUCCCCUGACGGUAUCUAACCAGAAAGCCACGGCUAACUACGUGCCAGCAGCCGCGGUAAUACGUAGGUGGCAAGCGUUGUCCGGAUUUAUUGGGCGUAAAGCGAGCGCAGGCGGUUUCUUAAGUCUGAUGUGAAAGCCCCCGGCUCAACCGGGGAGGGUCAUUGGAAACUGGGAGACUUGAGUGCAGAAGAGGAGAGUGGAAUUCCAUGUGUAGCGGUGAAAUGCGUAGAUAUAUGGAGGAACACCAGUGGCGAAGGCGGCUCUCUGGUCUGUAACUGACGCUGAGGCUCGAAAGCGCGGGGAGCAAACAGG